rnacentral:lncRNA from 1 species
ACAGCAAUUAUGAAAGCUCAUCAGCACCCAGUGCGUUGUGAGGAGGCUCCCAAAAGAGCUGAAGGAUGCUGCUUCCAUUUUUCAAAAACCAUUAUUCCAUUCAGCAAGGUAAUUCAUGUGAUCGAAGAACAAGCCAACAUGUGUCCUCUGCUCAGUAGUUGGUAAUAACCUGUAAGAGAAAGAAUUUGGAAAAGCAUAUAUGUGAUAUAUAUGAUAUAGAUAUAUGUGAAUCACUUUGCUGAACACUUGAAACUAACACAUGAUAAAUCAGCUACACUUCGAUACAUUGUUAUAUGGCACAAAUAAACCUGUCUACAAGCAGAAGCAGACAUAGAGAACAGACGUGUGGUUGCCAGGAUGGGGAGGAAGUGGGAUGGGCGGGGAGUCUGGGGUUGGUAGACACAAACUCUUGGCAUUUAAAUGGAUAAGCCGUGAGCUCCUACCACACGGCACAGGGAACUCUGUCCACAAUGGCGGAAUCAUCAGAUCCGGCCGCCGCCUCGCUCUCGGGCCAGAGUUCCAUCCCCAGGGCCUUGACGAUGCUGUGGAGGGUGGCGUGUGUCUGCCAGGGUCUGUGUUCACACUUUGCCAUUUAUUUCCUCCAACAGUUUAUUGCUGCGCGUCGUUCCCUACCCAUGCCAAGCGCUUCUGACGGAUGGUCCUCCCUGGAGCUCCAAGCCUCUGACUGUCCCUGUGCCCCGCUGUCCUGACUCUGCUUCUCCUGUCCGUCUUCCCCCUGUCAGCACAGCAGGGCGCCUUCAUACAUCCACAGCUCCCUCUCUUUAGAAUUUGCAGAGAAGUGCACCUUUCUUUAGAAUUUGCAGAGAAAGGCAUGAGUAGCAGAGAUGCGCUUGACUGACGUUCAUAUUUCCUUGUAGGAGGUAAAGAUUUGAUACGUAAAGGCUAGGUUGAUACCAUGGGUCUGUCUGAACUGCCUCUUUCCUUGAUCUAUGGAUGUGUUUUUAUUAAGAACCUUGCUUUAUUUUAAUUCCUUACCCAUUGAUAGUUUUCUUGUUUGACAUCCGGAUGCAGAAUUUCUUCUCCGUUUUCCUGAACUAGACGAUGUCUUUAAAUCGCCUAAUGAGGUCAGUGUGGGUAGACCUGCAGUAGUCUGUCUUCCUGGUAAAACUUAAGUGCCUAAGCCCGCGGACUGUAAAUACAACCUGUAGGAACUCAGGGCUCCUGACCUAUUGCUAUAUCCAUUCAGGAUACGUAAACCCAACGUUUUGGUGUAGAAGUUCUCCGAGUUUCCCUCUGACUGUGUCUCCUGCCAUUUAGGGGACUUCCGAAAGGGAAGCAGAGGAAGCGGGCCUCUGUCUCACUCGGUCUGUGCAGCAGGGAUUCAGUCACCCCCCACUGGUUCACCAAACAUGGGGUACUUGCUCGAAGUACAGAGCUUGGGGGGCUCUUAGCCUGAGGAGCACGUGGCCUCUGCCCACGAUUCUGCCUUAGCACGGCUCCCGUGAGACCAGCAGUGAUGGUUCCAUGUGAUAAAUGCUAGGCUGGAGGUUUGCACGGUGGGAAAAAUGCCCAAGGGCGUAGUUACUGCACCACGUAAGGGUGUUGCCUGCUCCUUCUAGAGACUGAGGUCCCUCUCCCAUCACGAGAAAACCCAUGUGGUUGCUGAGAACGGGUCACCUGAGCCGUCUCAAGGCAGACAGAGCAGGUGAAGAUGCUCCCGUGAUGAUUCCGGGAUUUUUAGGAAAAGAGACUUGCUGCUUUGCUCCUUUUUUAUUCUUUGCCCAAAAGAUGCAUUCGAAUUGGAGAGGCUAGUCAUGUUUCUCUCCAAAAGCUAUUUUCAACGCUGUUGUUCUGGGUAAGAAAAACAUCAGUGUUUUUCACUUGUAUGACUGCUGUCUGCUUGAUCACAAUGAAAACAGCAGCAAUAACUGCGGGAGGAAUUAUCACAGCUGAUAUUGAUAUUGACAAUAAAGAAAUAUAAGCCAGAGUUUAUAGAAAUAUAUAGCCACAGCUAUAUAUAGAGUCAAUCUAGUGCCAUGCAUUGGCGAAAAAACAACAGAAAGUACUCUCAGGAAACAGAACAAGUUAGAAAGCACUCUUUCUUUUUUGCAUUGAAAUAAAGACCUUUUGUCGGAUAAGUAGCAGUCAUUUGACCUCAAACCAUUAAGGGGGGAAAGUCGAAACAAGAAAAGGUAAUGUUUACCUGAAUGUUGCAGACGUGAAAGAUUGCAAAAAAUUGUAUAUAAUUACAGCAGUAAACACUUGUAUGACAAGUAGCUAUCACGCCGAAGAAAGAUGGUAGGAAAUCUGAAGGCAAAAAGCUACGGCAGGAACGGGGAAAAGCCCGUCUGCUCACAGGGUUAUUGGUUAGGGGAACAGAAACUACAGUGCGAAAAAUGCAUCAAAUCGAUGAAAAGUGGAAAGACAUAGGCUUGGGGAUGGGAGCGCACAGAGUCAAUGGAAAAAGACCGGUUUACAUCACGAAUUGGGUUUGACCGCGGCACCCCGAUUCCUGGGUCACAUGGUUAGCCGAAGACACAUCUCUGUCACCAAGGCGGUCUCACACACAGUGGGUGAAAUUCAGGGCAAUUCGAUGAACAGGUUUUAGGAAUCUACGUGCAUCCCAACGCCAUGCUUAACCAGCAUCCGAGUAGUCUAGGAACCAGACACAUUACCUGGUUAAGUAUUUUUUUCUCGGCGUUCCCGUCGUGACACAGUGGUUAAUGAAGCCAACUAGGAACCAUGAGGUUUUGGGUUCAAUCCCUGACCUUGCUCAGUGGGUUAAGGAUCCGGCGUUGCCAUGAGCUAUGGUGUAGGUCACAGACACGGCUCGGAUCCCGAGUCACUGUGGCUGUGGUGUAGGCCGGCGGCUACAGCUCCAAUUCAACCCCUAGCCUGGGAACCUCCAUAUGCCGCGGGAGCGGCCCUAGAAA